UACGGGGGGGGCAAGCGUUGUUCGGAAUUACUGGGCGUAAAGGGCUCGUAGGCGGCCAACUAAGUCAUACGUGAAAUCCCCAGGCUCAACCUGGGAACUGCGUCUGAUACUGGUUGGCUUGAAUCCGGGAGAGGGAUGCAGAAUUCCAGGUGUAGCGGUGAAAUGCGUAGAUAUCUGGAGGAAUACCGGUGGCGAAGGCGGCAUCCUGGACCGGCAUUGACGCUGAGGAGCGAAAGCCAGGGGAGCAAACGGGG
rnacentral:rRNA from 1 species